rnacentral:rRNA from 1 species
UGGGGAAUAUUGCACAAUGGGGGAAAACCUGAUGCAGCGACGCCGCGUGAACGAUGAAGCACUUCGGGGUGUAAAGUUCUUUCGGCAGGGACGAUAAUGACGGUACCUGCAGAAGCAGCUGCGGCUAACUACGUGCCAGCAGCCGCGGUAAUACGUAGGCAGCAAGCGUUGUUCGGAAUCACUGGGCGUAAAGAGUGCGUAGGCGGUUGGCUAAGUUUGGUGUGAAAUCUCCCGGCUCAACUGGGAGGGUGCGCCGAAAACUGGCUGGCUAGAGUGCGGGAGAGGAUAGUGGAAUUCCUGGUGUAGCGGUGAAAUGCGUAGAUAUCAGGAGGAACACCUGAGGGGUGGACGGCUAUCUGGACCGUAACUGACGCUGAGGCACGAAAGCGUGGGGAGCAAACA